GCGCCGGCCAGCCGCGCUGACAGAGCCUCUGCCGCCGGCCUUCCUACACGCCUCGGUUCUUACACUUUCUUCUCCCCAAGUUUCCUAACUCAGCCGCAGUUAUCCGCGGGGCGCACGCUAGCGUUCUUCUUACCAAGUUCACUUCCCUAAUCUCUGAGUCCAGUCCUUGUCUACGACAUCUAGUCGCCAAGACUGGCCGCGUAUUACAAGCAAGCAGCUAGCCAACUGGUGAAAUAUUCCUGGCCUAAAGCUACAUACUUAACUAGAGGCUUUGUGGAGGUCAGCUGUGACGUCCUUGCAAACCAACGGAUACCUGACAUGGAUGCCCAGGACCCAAGUUGGAAAAGAAGCAAGGCCUUCGAGUGACUCUGGAAAGAGCAUCCAUGCAGACGGCCUACGAGGAGCAAGAGCUGUGAAGCAAGAAUAUGUGUGGCAUGUUCAAGGGCAGAGAAGGAGACACCAAGGCUAGGGAUGAGGGCAAAGGCUGGGCACACUCCUGGAAGAAAGGAUGCCAAGUGUGGAUUGGCACGGAAAGCUCUGGCUGGAGCAGCAUGUGAUCUGCCUUUGUUGCAGUAGGACCAUACAGCUAGGCAUGGUGGCUCACGCCUGUUGUGCUAGCGCCUGGAAAGCUGUGCAGGAGAGUGAAACCACUUUAUAGCCAGUCUGGAUUGCAUUACGAGUUCCAGGACAGCAUGGGGUACAAAAUGAGACUGUCUCAAUAAAUAAAUAAAUUUUUUUUU